rnacentral:rRNA from 1 species
GACAGAGGGUGCAAACGUUGUUCGGAUUUACUGGGCGUAAAGCGCGUGUAGGCGGCUUGGCAAGUCGGAUGUGAAAGCCCACGGCUCAACCGUGGAAGCGCAUCCGAAACGGCCUCGCUCGAGUCUCGGAGAGGAAGGUGGAAUGCUUGGUGUAGAGGUGAAAUUCGUAGAUAUCAAGAGGAACACCUGCGGCGAAGGCGGCCUUCUGGACGAUGACUGACGCUGAGACGCGAAAGCGUGGGGAGCAAACAGG